rnacentral:misc_RNA from 1 species
GCCGUAGAAGACUCUAGGCCGUGUAGGCAUCUUGAUGAAUGAUGAAGGAACUCGGAAAGAUACAGGAACGGUGAGAGUUGUAGGAAAUGCAGGAACUCUAGGCACCGUGAGAGACGAUCAAACUCUAAAGCUUAUUCUAAUGUGAAUACGGAGGAAAGCUUGGUAUGGGUGUGCCCUUUGAACGAAGAACGCGGAUUCGUUGCUUACAUUUUUAGUUAGUAAAGUGAGGGCAAUAAUCCGCGAUGUCGAUUGGUUGGGACCAAUGUUAGGAAGGAAGAGAGGAGAAAGAAACCUCCUACCAAC